rnacentral:lncRNA from 1 species
CUUUUCAUUGAACACGAAUUUAAAAAUUUGAAUUACUUUCAAGAAGAUUUUGUUUUAUAAAAUAUGAUAGGAUAAGGUUUUUACAACAUCUUAACACUGUUCCUACCUUUAAAAUGAAAUAAUCCUCACCAAGUAUAAUCUUUUCUUUUUAUCCCCAGACCUUUUAAUUUAGAAUCUUGAGAAAAAAGAAAAAAAUAAACAAUGCUGAUGGUAAUAAAGAAGAAGAAACGAGUAGAUGUAUAGACUGAAACAAAUCUCAUAAAAGGAAAAAGGAAAGUGAACAUGUACACAAAGGUUGGUUGAUGAGAAUCAGGCAAAAUAUUCGUUACGAAAAACUUGAAAGUCCAAAUGAUAAUAAUGGAAAAUAUCAUCUUAAAACAAAUGCUUUGUGUUAUUUCUUACUAUCAGUACAGG